GACGAACGCUGGCGGCGUGCCUAACACAUGCAAGUCGAACGGAGAUACGAUUUCGGUUGUAUCUUAGUGGCGAACGGGUGAGUAACGCGUGAGCAACCUGACCUUUAGAGGGGGAUAACACUUGGAAACAGGUGCUAAUACCGCAUAAGACCACGACCUGACAUCAGGAUGAGGUCAAAGGAGCAAUCCGCUAAAGGAGGGGCUCGCGUCCCAUUAGAUAGAUGGCGGGGUAACGGCCCACCAUGUCGACGAUGGGUAGCCGAGCUGAGAGGCUGAUCGGCCACACUGGAACUGAGACACGGUCCAGACUCCUACGGGAGGCAGCAGUGGGGAAUAUUGGGCAAUGGGCGCAAGCCUGACCCAGCAACGCCGCGUGAGGGAAGAAGGCCUCGGUU
rnacentral:rRNA from 1 species